CUUCACGCCACAGCAACUGGCAUAAGCACCGGCCUGAUGAGCUACAAAGGCUCGGGACAGGACUGUGACUUUGACUGAUUCACCAGAAGGAAAAUAUGUUGGAAGUGACAAAAUGACUGAAUAGGUCCGCUCAAGGUCUUUAAACUCAUCUGUGCUUCUCAGCACCUAUGACAGGGUUCUUUUGAAGACCUGACCUGGAGUUACAUGCUGACUAUGGUCCUUUGCGGGAACGUGACCCGCUCUUGGGGCUUCACAACCGGCUGUUGUUCGGCACGCCAAAGGCUCGGCCUAAGAGUUCAACUCAGCUUUGGAGACUGAGGAACUCAGGGCUCUGGAGAUGGGCGGAUCGAAGAUUGGUGUCCCGGACGGGUGUAUCGAGGGACCUGGAACACCUUUGGCUGUGUGCCCAGAGACUUGAGAUCUUUAGGUACUGAGUUCAAAAAAAGUGACACAACGGACUUUUAACAUCAUAAACCAGCAAGUUGUUUGUUGUGCCUCCCCUCUCGCAGUGAACAGACAGAGCCUGUGGUAUGUCGAAUGCUGGGUGAACAACGUAGUCUUUG